rnacentral:rRNA from 1 species
CGGCAGCACGGGAGCAAUCCUGGUGGCGAGUGGCGAACGGGUGAGUAAUACAUCGGAACGUGUCCUGUAGUGGGGGAUAGCCCGGCGAAAGCCGGAUUAAUACCGCAUACGCUCUACGGAGGAAAGGGGGGGAUCUUAGGACCUCUCGCUACAGGGGCGGCCGAUGGCAGAUUAGUUAGUUGGUGGGGUAAAGGCCUACCAAGGCGACGAUCUGUAGCUGGUCUGAGAGGACGACCAGCCACACUGGGACUGAGACACGGCCCAGACUCCUACGGGAGGCAGCAGUGGGGAAUUUUGGACAAUGGGCGAAAGCCUGAUCCAGCAAUGCCGCGUGUGUGAAGAAGGCCUUCGGGUUGUAAAGCACUUUUGUCCGGAAAGAAAACCUCUGGGUUAAUACCCCGGGGGGAUGACGGUACCGGAAGAAUAAGCACCGGCUAACUACGUGCCAGCAGCCGCGGUAAUACGUAGGGUGCAAGCGUUAAUCGGAAUUACUGGGCGUAAAGCGUGCGCAGGCGGUUCGCUAAGACAGAUGUGAAAUCCCCGGGCUUAACCUGGGAACUGCAUUUGUGACUGGCGGGCUAGAGUAUGGCAGAGGGGGGUAGAAUUCCACGUGUAGCAGUGAAAUGCGUAGAGAUGUGGAGGAAUACCGAUGGCGAAGGCAGCCCCCUGGGCCAAUACUGACGCUCAUGCACGAAAGCGCGGGGAGCAAACAGGAUUAGAUACCCUGGUAGUCCACGCCCUA